rnacentral:rRNA from 1 species
AGAGUUUGAUCCUGGCUCAGGACGAACGCUGGCGGCGUGCUUUAUACAUGCAAGUCGAACGAUGAAGUUCCUUCGGGAAUGGAUUAGUGGCGAACGGGUGAGGAACACGUGAGAAACCUGCCUUUCAUUCUGGGAUAACACCGGGAAACCGGUGCUAAUACCGGAUACUCCAUCUUGGCGGCAUCGCCGAGCUGGGAAAAAAUUUUGAUGAAAGAUGGUCUCGCGGCCUAUCAGCUAGUUGGUGAGGUAAAGGCUCACCAAGGCGACGACGGGUAGCCGGCCUGAGAGGGCGACCGGCCACACUGGGACUGAGACACGGCCCAGACUCCUACGGGAGGCAGCGGUAGGGAAUAUUGGGCAAUGGGCGAAAGCCUGACCCAGCGACGCCGCGUGAGGGAUGAAGGUCUUCGGAUUGUAAACCUCUUUCAGUAGGGAAGAAGCGAAAGUGAUGGUACCUAAAGAAGAAGCACCGGCUAACUAUGUGCCAGCAGCCGCGGUAAUACAUAGGGUGCAAGCGUUGUCCGGAAUUAUUGGGCGUAAAGAGCUCGUAGGUCGUUUGUCGCGUCGAUUGUGAAAAUCUGAGGCUCAACCUCAGACCUGCAGUCGAUACGGGCAAACUAGAGUGUGGUAGGGGAGACUGGAAUUCCUGGUGUAGCGGUGGAAUGCGCAGAUAUCAGGAGGAACACCAAUGGCGAAGGCAGGUCUCUGGGCCAUAACUGACACUGNNNAGCGAAAGUGCGGGGAGCGAACAGGAUUAGAUACCCUGGUAGUCCGCACCGUNNNCGGUGGGCACUAGUUGUGGGAACC